rnacentral:rRNA from 1 species
UCAGUUUCUAUCUAUAUCUAAGCUUAUUCCAGUACGAAAGGACAGAAAAAGCGUGGCCAAUACUAUAGGCAAGCCAUCGUUAUUAAUUUUUGUUAACAACUUAAUUUACAGUUAACCAACAACCUCCCUCAAAAAAAGAGA